GAAUUCUGCCUGCGCCGACCUCCUCCCCGGCAAAGGCGAAUAGGUCAGCUUCCUCCUCCCAGAAGGCUGACCACCAAAAACGACACCUGCCGGAUCCUCCUCCCCCGGCAGGUGUUGUUA
rfam:Aminobacter sp. Root100 contig_10, whole genome shotgun sequence.